CUUACCAGCGCUUGACAUGCCCGGACAAUUUCAGAGAUGGAUCUUUUCCCUUCGGGGACUGGAACAGGAGCGCUGCUUGGCUGUCCUCGUCUCGUGUCGUGAGAUGUUGGGUUAAGUCCCCCAACGAGCGUCCCCUCGCCUUUAGUUACCAUCAUUUAGGGGGGUACUCUAAAAGAGCCGGCGGCGAUAAGCAGGAAGGAGGGGGGGAUGACAACUCGUCCUGCCGGUCCUUACUCGGGGGGCUACACACGUGCUACAAUGGGAACUAAGGGGGGCAGCGACCCUGGGGGGGCGGAAUCCCAAAAAAAAGUUGUCUCAUUUCAGAUUGUUCUCUGCAACUCCCCAGCAAGAAGGGAGAAUCUAUAAUAAUCGCGGAUCAGCAUGCCGCGGGAAAAUAUUCCCCCGGAAA
rnacentral:rRNA from 1 species